GCCGCGGGUCAGAUCUCCGGAGCAGGUGGAGCACGCGCAGCCGCAGCCCUUCCAGACGCCGAGCCCGCGCCGGCAGCACAACCUGCUCUCGCAGGACGCCUACCAGCCGGGGCCGGAGCACGGUCCACAGGGUCACCAGGGCGUCCACCAGCACCCGAUGCAGCAGGACGCGGAGCAGCAGACGGUCGAGCCGGCCGCCUCUGCGCCCUGGCUGCAGCUGCAGGUGUCAGGCGAACCGCAGCUGCUGUCCAUCAACAACCUCAGCUUCAACCCUUCCAGCCAGAUGCACAUGAACGCACUCCGGUCGGAGGCCCUGAAGCGCUCCCCCCUGCCGGGUGGCCCCGCGGCGCCCACGGCCGAGGGGGACCUCACCUCUGAAAUGAGUGUACACUGAUUGGAGAUCUCAUUAGUGAUUGGAGCUAUAGAUAGGUUAAAUUCGAUCAUAUUUUCUGAAUUUCUGUAGAAAAUAUGGCAAAAUAUGGGGAAAUAUGUCAUUUUGCCCCAAAAAUGUGUGAUUGAAAGGAGAUUAGAAAAUGAUUGGAAAGUGAUUGGAGCAGAGGGUGUACACUGAUUGGAGGCAGUGAGGUACCCCUCGCCCACGGCCGUGCCCCCCGCCCGGUUGCCGGGGCGCCACGGUGGCCCUGGGCCCGGGGCGGGGGUGGGCCCCACCCAUGGUCCCACCCACGGCCCCGCCCACGGCCCCGCCCACGGCCCCGCCUCCAACGCCCCCCUCGGCCCGGUGGUGGGCGCGCCCCGACCGACAGCUCCUCAUGGCCCGCCGACUAGAUCGCUUGGAGCGGUCCUCCCUGCUGGAGCCGGACCUCGGAGUCUACGGCGUGCACGGUGGCGGCCGGUGGAAGCCCCCUGCGCUGACCGGCGGCCGUCCAGAGGACGACUUCUGCCUCCCUAACGUGCCCGGAGCGUCGGGCAGCCCGAGUAAGGGCAGGAGGAAGCCCGAUGCGGGGGUGAGCCUCGCCGGCCAGCACGGGAACAGUGUUGGGCUGAGAGCGACGCUUAGGGAAGACCACUCGCUGUCACCGGUGAGUU